GUCCAUGUAGCUUAAAACAAAGCGAGGCACUGAAAAUGCCUAAAUGAGCCCAAAAACUCCGUAGACA
rnacentral:tRNA from 1 species